rnacentral:rRNA from 1 species
GACGAACGCUGGCGGCGCGCCUAACACAUGCAAGUCGAACGGUGAACGGGGCUUCGGCCCCGGGAUCAGUGGCGAACGGGUGCGUAACACGUGGGCAACCUGCCCCAGACCCUGGGAUAACCCCGGGAAACCGGAGCUAAUACCGGAUACUCCGGCCGAACCGCAUGGCUCGGCCGGGAAAGGUCCGCCGGUCUGGGAUGGGCCCGCGGCCUAUCAGCUCGUUGGCGGGGUAAUGGCCCACCAAGGCGACGACGGGUAGCUGGUCUGAGAGGACGACCAGCCACACUGGGACUGAGAUGCGGCCCAGACUCCUACGGGAGGCAGCAGUGGGGAAUCUUGCACAAUGGGCGAAAGCCUGAUGCAGCGACGCCGCGUGAGGGAUGAAGGCCCUCGGGUUGUAAACCUCUUUCGGCAGGGAUGAAGCGAUCGUGACGGUACCUGCAGAAGAAGCCUCGGCUAACUACGUGCCAGCAGCCGCCGUAAGAC